rnacentral:lncRNA from 1 species
UCUCCAACGUUCAAAAAUCUCUCGGCAUCUUCAAAUCUCCUAUUGAACUGAAGACCCUGCAAUGAAUUACAAAUGCUAAUAGGGCUACCGAUAUCCAAUACUCAGAUCAUUGUAUCAAAAACAGAGAAGUUACAAGGUGUUAUCAUAUAAGUAUCUUAUCGAGCAACCGAUUGUUUCUUCUUCUUUAGUCUGUUUGGAUCAAGAAAAGCUAAGUAUUAAGAAUAGUUCCUCUUCCAGUGAUCCUACUUUUUGCAAUAGAAGCACUUUGCCUGACUCUAAUCG